rnacentral:rRNA from 1 species
UGGGGAAUUUUGCACAAUGGGCGAAAGCCUGAUGCAGCAACGCCGCGUGUGUGAUGAAGGUCUUCGGAUCGUAAAGCACUUUCGACUGGGACGAACACCCCUUGGCUAACAUCCAAGGGCCUGACGGUACCAGGAGAAGAAGCACCGGCUAACUCUGUGCCAGCAGCCGCGGUAAUACAGAGGGUGCAAGCGUUGUUCGGAAUUAUUGGGCGUAAAGCGCGUGUAGGCGGCUUUGCAAGUCGGGUGUGAAAGCCCUCAGCUCAACUGAGGAAGUGCGCCCGAAACUGCAUGGCUUGAGUACCGGAGAGGAUGGUGGAAUUCCCCAAGUAGAGGUGAAAUUCGUAGAUAUGGGGAGGAACACCGGUGGCGAAGGCGACCAUCUGGACGGAUACUGACGCUGAGACGCGAAAGCGUGGGUAGCAAA